rnacentral:tRNA from 1 species
AAAAGUCCUAGGGGCAC